rnacentral:rRNA from 1 species
GUGCCUGUACUGCAAGUCGAACGCGCAGCGAAAGGUGCUUGCACCUUUCAAGCGAGUGGCGAACGGGUGAGUAACACGUGGAUAACCUGCCUCAAGGCUGGGGAUAACAUUUGGAAACAGAUGCUAAUACCGAAUAAAACUUAGUAUCGCAUGAUACAAAGUUGAAAGGCGCUACGGCGUCACCUAGAGAUGGGUCCGCGGUGCAUUAGUUAGUUGGUGGGGUAAAGGCCUACCAAGACAAUGAUGCAUAGCCGAGUUGAGAGACUGAUCGGCCACAUUGGGACUGAGACACGGCCCAAACUCCUACGGGAGGCUGCAGUAGGGAAUCUUCCACAAUGGGCGAAAGCCUGAUGGAGCAACGCCGCGUGUGUGAUGAAGGCUUUAGGGUCGUAAAGCACUGUUGUAUGGGAAGAAAUGCUAGAAUAGGGAAUGAUUCUAGUUCGACGGUACCAUACCAGAAAGGGACGGCUAAAUACGUGCCAGCAGCCGCGGUAAUACGUAUGUCCCGAGCGUUAUCCGGAUUUAUUGGGCGUAAAGCGAGCGCAGACGGUUGAUUAAGUCUGAUGUGAAAGCCCGGAGCUCAACUCCGGAAUGGCAUUGGAAACUGGUUAACUUGAGUGUUGUAGAGGUAAGUGGAACUCCAUGUGUAGCGGUGGAAUGCGUAGAUAUAUGGAAGAACACCAGUGGCGAAGGCGGCUUACUGGACAACAACUGACGUUGAGGCUCGAAAGUGUGGGUAGCAAACAGGAUUAGAUACCCUGGUAGUCCACACCGUAAACGAUGAAUACUAGGUGUUAGGAGGUUUCCGCCUCUUAGUGCCGAAGCUAACGCAUUAAGUAUUCCGCCUGGGGAGUACGACCGCAAGGUUGAAACUCAAAGGAAUUGACGGGGACCCGCACAAGCGGUGGAGCAUGUGGUUUAAUUCGAAGCAACGCGAAGAACCUUACCAGGUCUUGACAUCCUUUGAAGCUUCUAGAGAUAGAAGUGUUCUCUUCGGAGACAAAGUGACAGGUGGUGCAUGGUCGUCGUCAGCUCGUGUCGUGAGAUGUUGGGUUAAGUCCCGCAA